rnacentral:rRNA from 1 species
AUGUCCGGUUUACCCACAACUGAAGCAAGAAUUGUUGCACUAGCGCUCCUCGUGCACCGGGUUGGUCAUGACAUUCUUGACUUGGGUGGUGGUCUUGUUAACAUUCUGGUGCCAAUUGGGCUUGGAUUCCACCUGAGUCUGCUACCAGGUACGAGCCUUUUCCACUGGUUGCCCUUCCUUCCUUGGCUCAAACUUGCGCUUGUGAUCGUUAUUAGCAGGAAUGUUGUCCGUUAUGAGCUUGUGCUCCCUUUCAGCAAUUGUCAGGACCCCGACUCAAUGCCACAUCGAUCUAGCAUGUAA